UGCCUUGAUGGUGAAAUGGUGGACAUGCGAGACUCAAAAUCUCGACUAAAGAGUGUGGAGGUUUGAGUCCUCUUCAAAGAAU
rnacentral:tRNA from 1 species